GAUGAACGCUGGCGGCGUGCUUAACACAUGCAAGUCGAACGGGAUCCAAGGGGUGCUUGCACUUUUUGGUGAGAGUGGCGAACGGGUGAGUAACACGUGAGUAACCUGUCCUUUUCUUUGGGAUAAGCAUUCGAAAGGGUGUUUAAUACCUUAUGUUCUGUCUGCCUCGCAUGGGGUGGGUGGGAAAGGCUUUGGCCGGAUUUGGGUGGGCUCGCGGUCUAUCAGCUUGUUGGUGGGGUGAUGGCUUACCAAGGCUUUGACGGGUAGCCGGCCUGAGAGGGUGGUCGGUCACAUUGGGACUGAGAUACGGCCCAGACUCCUGCGGGAGGCAGCAGUGGGGGAUAUUGCACAAUGGGCGAAAGCCUGAUGCAGCGACGCCGCGUGGGGGAUGAAGGCCGUCGGGUUGUAAACUUCUUUUGCUCUGAACAAGGCAUGCCAGUGGGUGUGUUGAGUGGAGGGGUUGAUUAGCGCCGGCUAACUACGU
rnacentral:rRNA from 1 species